AGUCGAGCGGUAGCACAGAAGAGCUUGCUCUUUGGGUGACGAGCGGCGGACGGGUGAGUAAUGUCUGGGAAACUGCCUGAUGGAGGGGGAUAACUACUGGAAACGGUAGCUAAUACCGCAUAACGUCUUCGGACCAAAGAGGGGGACCUUCGGGCCUCUUGCCAUCAGAUGUGCCCAGAUGGGAUUAGCUAGUAGGCGGGGUAAUGGCCCACCUAGGCGACGAUCCCUAGCUGGUCUGAGAGGAUGACCAGCCACACUGGAACUGAGACACGGUCCAGACUCCUACGGGAGGCAGCAGUGGGGAAUAUUGCACAAUGGGCGCAAGCCUGAUGCAGCCAUGCCGCGUGUGUGAAGAAGGCCUUCGGGUUGUAAAGCACUUUCAGCGGGGAGGAAGGCAGUAAGGUUAAUAACCUUGCUGAUUGACGUUACCCGCAGAAGAAGCACCGGCUAACUCCGUGCCA
rnacentral:rRNA from 1 species